AGAUUAUUAAUUAACUAAAAAUUAGUAUUUUUGAAGUCAAUUUUGAGGUAUGGCUCAAGCAGCAGACCAACAAGUGACUAGUUCCAAUGGAGAUAAAUCAUCACCAGUGCUACUAAACAACAGUGAUGGUUGAUUGGUGUUAAGCAGCAUUUCACUGAGAAUGUGGUAAAUCAAUCUAUAGCAACUUCUGAAAUUACUUCAGAAAUCCAAGAUAUACCUGAGCUGAUUAUUUUUUAAAUUAUUUUGAAUGGUUUGAAGAGUAUGAUGUUUUUAUACAUAACUAAAGUUAAAACAACUUGAUGUAUAAAAACUAAGUAGCUGCAUAUACAGUGCUUCUGAUGAGCACCUAGAGAUAUGUUAGACCGGGAUGCAUGGUGUAGCAGAAGAUCUGGAAAUAUUCCUCUUCUUUUGGUGGAUGGAGAUGUGUUUAUGCUAAUUGUUUAGCAAACGAUAAUGGCUAAUGUGCAAGUUGCAUAAAAAACCAUUCUUACUGAUAUAGCAUUGUUUUAUUUAAUAAAUUUUGAUUAUACAAAAGACUAUGAGAUUGCACUAAGUAUGUUGCAGUUUUUUUUUGAUAACAAAGUAUCCUAGCAGAUUUAAUAAAACAUUUCCGCAUGAAU